AUUGAACGCUGGCGGCAGGCCUAACACAUGCAAGUCGAGCGGAUGAAGGGAGCUUGCUCCUGGAUUCAGCGGCGGACGGGUGAGUAAUGCCUAGGAAUCUGCCUGGUAGUGGGGGAUAACGUCCGGAAACGGGCGCUAAUACCGCAUACGUCCUGAGGGGGAAAGUGGGGGAUCUUCGGACCUCACGCCAUCAGAUGAGCCUAGGUCGGAUUAGCUAGUUGGUGGGGUAAAGGCCUACCAAGGCGACGAUCCGUAACUGGUCUGAGAGGAUGAUCAGUCACACUGGAACUGAGACACGGUCCAGACUCCUACGGGAGGCAGCAGUGGGGAAUAUUGGACAAUGGGCGAAAGCCUGAUCCAGCCAUGCCGCGUGUGUGAAGAAGGUCUUCGGAUUGUAAAGCACUUUAAGUUGGGAGGAAGGGCAGUAAGUUAAUACCUUGCUGUUUUGACGUUACCAACAGAAUAAGCACCGGCUAACUUCGUG
rnacentral:rRNA from 1 species